GAAACAACUUCUGCCAUAAAAUGAAUGAGUGGAGAAAGCUAACAAACACUUUUAAAAUAUAUCUGGCCAGGUGUGGUGGCUUACGCCUGUAAUCCCAGCAGGUCAAGGCAGGUGGAUCACGAGGUCAGGAGUUCAACCAACUGCUAGACUGCCUUCUAAAUACCUAACAAAAUAUAAAAGGUACAGUCUUUCAACAGACAUUUCUUCCUCAGAUACAGUCCUACAAGGACUUAGA
ensembl:lncRNA novel transcript, antisense to STX8